UCCUCUGGGAGCGCUGCUGUCGAAGCUCCACCAAGGACAGGAGAGAGUGAGUCCUGUCCAGCUUGGGUUUCCCUAGCUGGCCUGGCGCCUGAGGAGUGGACACAUCAACACCAACCCUGCUCACCAGCCCCAAGCUCAACACCUCCCGGGCCACACGUGGGCUUUCAGCGUUUGUUUGGUUUUCAUGGGGGUGGGGGGGGGAUUCAGAUCUUGACAAAUAGCUCAACAUUUUUUGUGUUGACCAUCUCAUCCCUCUUCUUACUGAUGAACAGCGAAAGGCUGUGACUUAGUGAUAGCAGGUGUCAUGCAUACUGUAUGAAAGUCUCCUUCACAUUUCUAUUCCCAGACGAAGGGCUGAGCACGAGAAUGAGGAAGAAUGUGAGCCCUUGCCUUUUCAUUCCUGCACUGUGAGUGGGCAGAUACUGCUGUAGCGGCUGUUUGAUCUUCCAGGAGAAAGAAAGGAACAGAAAAAUAAAAAAGCACUUUGCCUCCACAGCCUGCCAAGAGAAGAGUUCAUGGAGGUAGCUGGACUAGGUGAAAUGCAGGCAUGAUCUUCAUCAGUACUGUGUAUUUGAUACUUGAUAGCACAGAUUUCUGAACUACCAGGUUGGUUGUUAUUGUCUUUCUGGUUGAAUAUAGCAGUAGCUAAGGUUACCACCAUUUCAUUAUCCUUUUCUCCAACAGACAGGAGAUCAAGUUCUCGGCAAAGCAUAUAAGAGCAGACAAAAGUGAAACCAUAGAGCGAUCAGCCAUCAAUAAACCUGAAUGACCUUUGGUAUUUUGUCUGAACGACAUGUAAUGAAGGUCGGAAGUUUUUUUCAUGUUUUAUUGUCAAAUUCCCACACAAUGGACAAAGGACAAACUGUGAUUCUGAUGUUACAUAUCACAGAAGCAUAUUUCACAGUUAAUUCCAUUGCACAAUAAUGCUAAAAUGGUGAACAUCUUUUUACAGUCCCCAUAUGUGCUGUUUGGUGUCUUCAGAGUAGAGAAGUAUAGCAAUGUGGUAGUCUUGUGCAAGUUUUUGUAGUCUGUGUAUUAAUGUCCACCAGCUAAAUAUUCUCUAAUGAUUAACAUUUCUGUGCAGAUCAACAUUAAGACCCUUCUUUACAUUAGAAGUUGCAGCAGGCAUACAUUUCCUAUUUUCAGUUCUAUCUUAUACAUGGCCCACUUUUUGGUGGGUUUGGGCUACUGUGUUCUUCAGGUUAAGUUGAAUUAGCCACCAAGAAAACUCCAAAUAAAUGCAGCACUUUUUGUGCCAGAAGCCCAUAUUGGACCUCUAGGGGUAGCAUUUAUAUUAAAUGUUUACAUCCCAAUAUGGUACAUAACAAUUUAAUGGGUUUUACAUGAUUAGAAGUGUUAUAUCAAAAACAUAACUUUGAGUUUAUUUAAUUAUUUUAUAGUCAUAUUUUCCUCCUGUAUACCAAAAGCACCUUUGACAUGUACCAAGAGAAAUAUUUAACUGUGAACUGACAUUUUACUUUUCAAAAAGAACAAGUAUCUGUGAAGAAGUAAUUAUGUAAGGAGAGUACAUGAAGUUGUUGAGUGAGAUAUUACAGUUUGAAACAAAAAUCUCCUGAUGUUUUCCCUCUCAAUAUGUAUUCACCUUUUCUGUUUUAUAUUAUGUAAUGAAGAUAAUGAAUAAGAAAUUAUUUAAGUGUGCGCAAAUGUAUAUAUUUUAAAUGUGUGGUCAUAUAUUUUUUUUCAGUUUGCUAUGUAUUGUUCUCAGUGAUGUAACUCAAGCUUUGAAAAUGCUGUCUGCUGUCUUUAAGCAAUGUCCAACCAAAGCCCAUUGAGAUAAUUCAGAAGGAUGUGAAAUUACCUUCUUGCAACCUGAGAAAGUAAUAAGCUCACUGUAAUACAUGUACUGUGUUGGAAGUUCUUUGAAAAAUUCUGUUCCAUUCUCAUAUCACUGUGAGCUAAACAAUAACAGCAAACAAGCAAGAACAUUAAAAAUGUUUGAACUCAAA